rnacentral:tRNA from 1 species
GAGGAUGUAACUCAAAAGGUAGAGUGCCUGCCUUUAAAGCCGGAGUCCCUAAGUUCAAAUCCCAGGAUCAUCA